rnacentral:tRNA from 5 species
GGGCAGUUAGCUCAGUCUGGUAGAGCAGUAGACUCUUAAUCUACGGGUCAGGGGUUCGAAUCCCUUACUGCCCGCCA